GGCGUGUCCGGGGAGCAGCUCUCUGAUUGGUUGAUUCCCAGGUGCUUUUUCUGGGCGCCUCCUUCCUCAUUGGUUCGUGCCCGAGUGCUUUUCUGGGGAGCUCCUUCCUGAUUGGUUGACACUUGGGGUGCUUUUCUGGGGAGCUCCUUCCUGAUUGGUUCGUGCCCGAGUGCAUUUCUGGGGAACUCCUCUCUGAUUGGUUGACGCUGGGGUGCUUUUCUGGGGCGCUCCUUCCUGAUUGGUUGACGUCCAGGAGCUUUUCUGGGCAUCUCCCUUCUGAUUGGUUCGCGCCCAAGUGCGUUUCUGGGGAUCUCCUCUCAGAUUGGCUGAUGUCCGGGUGCUUUUCUGACUGCUUCAUGCUGAUUGGCUGGCUAGUGGGAAGGCCCCUGGGCUCCUCAGCACCGAUUGGAUGAGCCCAGGGGUCCCCGGUGCCGAUUGGCCCGUGGGUAGUAAUUCUGGCUGCUGAUUGGCCGCCGGGUGAGAGGGGUUUCCCCAGGGAAUCCCCAUGCUGAUCCAGUGAUGGGUGGGCGUUCCCUGGGCGUCCCCCGCCUGAUUGGUGCACAGGUGGGCGUUCCCCACUCUCAUUGGUCAGUGGGCGGGUGCUCGUUCGGGCAUCCCCACUCUGAUUGGUCCGUUGAUGGGCAUCUCCUGGGCAUCCCCGCUCCGAUUGGUUCGUGGGUGGGUGCUCCCAGCUCUAAUUGGGCUCUGAUUGGGCAUCUCCCAGGGCGUCCCCUCUGUGAUUGGCUCAGGGAUAGGCACUCCUUGGGCAUCCCCGCUCCGAUUGGUCUGUGGCCGAGCAUCCCCCGCUCCCAUUGGUCCGCGGAUGGGGAUCCCGGGA
rnacentral:lncRNA from 1 species